rnacentral:rRNA from 1 species
UGGGGAAUUUUGGACAAUGGGGGAAACCCUGAUCCAGCCAUCCCGCGUGUGCGAUGAAGGCCCUCGGGUUGUAAAGCACUUUUGGCAGGAAAGAAACGUCAUGGGUUAAUACCCCGUGAAACUGACGGUACCUGCAGAAUAAGCACCGGCUAACUACGUGCCAGCAGCCGCGGUAAUACGUAGGGUGCAAGCGUUAAUCGGAAUUACUGGGCGUAAAGCGUGCGCAGGCGGUUCGGAAAGAAAGAUGUGAAAUCCCAGAGCUCAACUUUGGAACUGCAUUUUUAACUACCGGGCUAGAGUGUGUCAGGGGGAGGUGGAAUUCCGCGUGUAGCAGUGAAAUGCGUAGAUAUGCGGAGGAACACCGAUGGCGAAGGCAGCCUCCUGGGAUAACACUGACGCUCAUGCACGAAAGCGUGGGGAGCAAACAGG